UACGUAGGCAGCGAGCGUUGUUCGGAGUUACUGGGCGUAAAGGGUGUGUAGGCGGUUCUUUAAGUUUGGUGUGAAAUCUCCCGGCUCAACCGGGAGGGUGCGUCGAAUACUGAGGGACUAGAGUGCGGGAGAGGAAAGUGGAAUUCCUGGUGUAGCGGUGAAAUGCGUAGAUAUCAGGAGGAACACCGGUGGUGUAGACGGCUUUCUGGACCGUAACUGACGCUGAGGCACGAAAGCGUGGGUAGCAAACAGG
rnacentral:rRNA from 1 species